AAAAAAAAAAAAAUGGCAGUAUCUAAUUCAAAUUGCAUUACGUUACCAAACAAGUAUUAUAAAAAUAUCUAUGAAGUUUGUAUUAACUCCAUUUACACGAAACAUUUUUGUCAUUAGCUAUGGCCCUUCGAAUACACUACCCUUUGGUCCACAAAUUGCAGCAGUCAUUAGAAAAAUGCAACCAUUAGUCGGGUAUUUUUAGACAUCAAAGCCAUUGAGAUCCUCCUUUCAGGCAUUGGGUUUGCUUGCGCUUUUGUACAUCUUGUCAAUAACAUCCUGAUAGUAUUUAAGCAACUGGGGCCUCUUUUUCUUAUAUGUUGGCGUGAGGAGGUCGCGUUCUAUGUCAAAAGGCUCAGGAUCGAGGUGAACAGCUUUUACAAAUUCAAAACCUUUCAGCUUUUUCUCUUUUCCAGUCUUAGUAAGCUCCCCAAGUAUGAAUUCUUUUGCCUUCAGAUUUUCACAAUGGGAUUUGAAGUCCCCUCCCAUGCCAUUCUCUUGUGCCCAAUUUUCUAGAGCUUGCUUAUUGGGGUUAACAACAGCAACAAGGAAUGAUUCAAAGCUAUUCCCAUAAACCCAUAUCGAAUCAAUACCAGAAGCAAGACCAUAAAUAUUCUCCAAGUUUUCAACUGCAACAUAUUCUCCUUGUGAAAGUUUAAAUAUGUUUUUCUUGCGGUCAAUAAUUUUCAAGCUCCCAUCUGGUUGCCAUUCACCAAUAUCUCCUGUGUGGAACCACCCAUCAAUCAGGACCUCCUUGGUAAGGUCUUCUCGUUUGUAGUAACCCGAAAACACGGUAUUCCCCCUUACACAAAUUUCACCACGUGGUGUGCUUGAAAGAGCAUCAUAAUUCAUUUCAGGGACAGAUUCUAGACAAACAUCCACGUUUGGCACAGGAGGGCCCACCGUACCAAGCAUUGGCAUUUCAUUUGGCAGCGAGACAAAUGUGCCCGCACAGGUUUCUGUAAGACCAUAUCCUUGCAAAACAUGAGCACAUGAGACCACCCGCAGGAAAGCUUCUACAUGGAUAGCAAGAGGUGCUGCUCCAGAUAGAAUAAGCCUUACAUUUCCUCCCAAGCCUUGUUUUACCUUAUCAAAGACGAUUUUGUCACAAAGUGGAGAUGCCUUGUCAUGUGAAUGCCCCUUCUUCAUAGAAUUUAAUUUGUAAGAGUAUGCUAUAUUGAACAACGUCUGUUUUAAGAAGCCCCCUGAAGCAAUCUUCUGGGUCAAACCUGAAUAUAUUCUAUCUAAUACACGGGGCACAGCACAGAAAAUAGUUGGUUUGAGCUCCCCAAUGUCUUCAAUUAAUAAUUUGACAUCCCCUCUCCAGAACCCUAUAGAGGCACCAUGUGAAAUAAAUAGCUCUUCAAUCACUCGAUCAAAGAUAUGAGCAAGAGGAAGGUAUGAAAGAUAUACAUCCUUUGUAGUCAACUGUUCAUUUACACUCUCAAGCAGUCUUUUCACCCCAGCUAUAAUAGUAACAAUACUAUCAUUUGAAAUCAAUACUCCCUUCGGAUCACCAGUUGUCCCACUGGUAUACAUUAUUGUACAGAUAUCACUUUUCUUUUUCACUGGGAGAUCAUAAUGUUUAUCUUCACCCAGUUUUAAAAACUCCUCCCAAGAAUAUACUGCUAAACCAAACUUCUCGAUCUCUUCUCUUUGUUCAGGUGCAACAUUGCCAAAGCUCACAAUUGUUUUCAUGUACUGUGUUGAGUUUGGAAAUGUUUUCAACAGCUCAGCAAUUUUUUUUUCUUCUACAAAUGCAAUUGAGACCUCUGCAUGGCAUAUGAUAUAUUCCACAGCACCAGCUCCUAAAGUGUCAUAUAAGGGAACACAAAAAAGCCCAUGAGCAUUGCAGGCCUCCAUGCUCAUUAUCCACUCCGGGCAAUUGGCACCAUAAAUACCACAUUUCCCUCCCGGCUCAACACCACAGCUCCGAAUUGAAUUACCAACUUUGAUCACCAAGUCGUAUACUUGUUUGUAAGUUUGCCACGCGUAUUUACCAGCCAUCCCAUUCACAGUCUCUCGGCGACCAAGCAUGGGAUUGUUAGGAUAUUUCUCCACGCUUAUACGAAAAACAUCCCAGCAACUAUCCAUUCCAGGAAUCGGAGGAGGAAAUCCAUCCUUAGCGAAGACACUGCGAUAGACAGGACCAACAGAAGGCCUUCCAUCCUUGGCCUCCUUGGCUUUCUCGACCUCUAUUAGAUAAUUCCUCUGCGCCAUUUA
rnacentral:misc_RNA from 1 species